GACGAACGCUGGCGGCGCGCUUAACACAUGCAAGUCGAGCGAAGCGGCGGACGGGUGAGUAACACGUGAGUAACCUGGCUAAGACAUUGGGAGAGCCUCGGGAAACCGGGAUUAAUACAAAAUGGUCUAAGAUGGACUAGCGUCCCAUUAGCUAGUUGGUGCGGUAAAGGCCCACCAAGGCGACGACGGGUAGCCGGCCAGAGAGGGUGAACGGCGACGUUGGAACUGGGAAACGGUCCAAACUCUACGGGAGGCAGCAGUGGGGAAUAUUGCACAACGGAGGGAACGCUGAUGCCGCGACGCCGCGUGAACGAAGAAGGCUUUCGAGUCGUAAAGUUCUUGUAUAUGGGACGCGGUACCAUAAGAAAAAGCCCCGGCUAACUACGUGCCAGCAGCCGCGGUAAUAC
rnacentral:rRNA from 1 species